GCAACAGCCAUGAAAUCAGCCUGGAUGCUCAUCAGUGGGUGAGGAAGCCGUCUCCAGCAAUGCUUCAUCCCGUUAAAUCAACACGGGUUGAUUCACAGCUCCUUAACACGGGCUGAGAACUUUCAAGAAAAGCAGCCAAGCCCUUCCCUGCCAAGAGGGAACCCAUAUAGCCCGGUGCCUGUGGUUGCCUCUCAGAACAUUCCUGAGAGGCAAGAGGCUUCCCAGCUCUGCCCACCCUAGCUCCCCUAGCCUAUAAAGACAUCAAGCGUUAUGGGGGGAGAAGAGGGAUGCCCCAAGGUCACACUCUGAUCCUAAGAGCCAAGUCUCUCUGAGAAUGGGGAUUGCUGGCCAAGAGGAGGAGGAGGAGAGCCAAACUUAGGGCAAUAACUUCAUAUCCUCAGUGGCCACAGCUCCUGCCCCAGUCUCUGUGGGCAUGACCUCCAACAUGGGAGCACAUCCCUGGGUGUUAAAAGGUUAAAAGGAGAAAGUGGAAGGCUGGGAGAAAAUACAAUAAUAUUCAUUUAUAGGUCUCUUUAUAGUCAUUAAAAUUUUUUGCCUUUCAUAGUUUAAUAGCAUGGCUUUCAGUAUUACAUGAGUAAAACUUAAAAAUUAAUACACUUAUUUUAGAAGGUGUACAAGUCCAAAAAAAGGUUCUUAGCCACUGUGUUGGGGUAACUCUGAAAGCAGAAUCCACUCAUUAUAAAGGGCUUUUUGAAUCCUAACCAGUCUUGUGGCAAUUUUCCCAAGGCAAGGCCAGGCCAACUCAGAGCAGCCAGAGAGCCUGUGGUGUUGCUGUGGCUUCAACUGGGAUUACAGAAAUGUUUUUUACUAGGGAUGGGAGUCAAGCAUAGCUCCCAAGUUAGAAAGCAUGAUCUGGAAAUACUGUAGUCCACCCAUUCAUGACCAGGUCCCUGUGUGCAGAGCCAGCAUCUACACUAGGGAGAGGAACCCAGAAGGGACCACUGUGGGAUGAGCUUUCUCUUCUGCAGGAACAGAAAAGCCCAGAGUGAGCCCCACAAAGUAUGGUGUGCAGAAGAGACCAAUGGGGAAGGCUGUGCUAUAUGCUACGUGGACCUGCUCAGCACACUUCCCCAGCUUGACCCAGGGAUACCCUGCCUCCACUUCCCAAGCACUGGGAUUAAAAGUAUGGCACCAUACCUGACUGACAUUUAUAGGGGGGCUGCAGACCCAACCUCUGGUUCUUAUGCUUGCACAGUGAGUGCUUUAGUCACUGAGCAAGUAUCUCCCUGGAGCCUAUUCCAUCCUAAUGCAAAAAUACCAUGACCAACUGGGAGUCAAGACAUUAAUACCUGAGCCCCCAGGGACAUUUCAGGUACAAACCACUACUCAAGGUUGUUUAUAACCCCCAUUAUGGUGUUAAUGCCAUGUAAAUAAACAGUGGUUAUAUUGGUUAAGGAAUAAUAACAAGAGGGAGAAUCCUUGGUGCUGAGGCUCAGUGGGCAAAGCCUUCCCAUACAAGAGGAAGGUCCUGAGUUCAGAUCCCCAGCACCCACAUAAAACCCACAUAAAUGCUACACAGGUCCACUGUAGUUCCAGUGCUGGGGAGAUGGACAUAGACCCUCCAGAGCAAGCUGGCCGAGUGGGAGGAAACUGAUGAGCUCUGAGUUAGUGGGAGGGAGACCCUGCCUUGACAUAUAAGGAGGAGAGUGAUUGAUUAAAAUGUCCUGUGUCCCCACCCAGGGAUCCAUCCCAUAAUCAUCCACCAAACGCAGACACUAUUGCACAUGCCAGCAAGAUUUUGCUGAAAGGACCCUGAUAUAGCUGUCUCAUGUGAGGCUAGGCCAGUGCCUGGCAAAUACAGAAGUGGAUGCUCACAGUUAGCUAUU
rnacentral:lncRNA from 1 species